UACGAAGGGGGCUAGCGUUGUUCGGAAUUACUGGGCGUAAAGAGCGCGCAGGCGGUCGUUCAAGUCGCGUGUGAAAGCCCCCGGCUCAACUGGGGAGGGUCACGCGAUACUGAUCGACUCGAAGGCGGGAGAGGGAAGUGGAAUUCCCGGUGUAGUGGUGAAAUGCGUAGAUAUUGGGAGGAACACCAGUGGCGAAGGCGGCUCACUGGACCGGUUCUGACGCUGAGGCGCGAAAGCGUGGGGAGCAAACGGG
rnacentral:rRNA from 1 species